AUUGAACGCUGGCGGCAUGCCUAACACAUGCAAGUCGAACGCGAAAGGGGGGUAACUCCCGAGUAGAGUGGCGGACGGGUGAGUAAUACGUAGGAAUCUGCCCUAAAGUGGGGGAUAACCCGGGGAAACUCGGGCUAAUACCGCAUAAUCUCUUCGGAGAAAAGCAGGGGACCGCAAGGCCUUGUGCUUUAGGAUGAGCCUACGUCGGAUUAGCUAGUUGGUAGGGUAAAGGCCUACCAAGGCGACGAUCCGUAGCUGGUCUGAGAGGAUGAUCAGCCACACUGGGACUGAGAUACGGCCCAGACUCCUACGGGAGGCAG
rnacentral:rRNA from 1 species